GAAAUGCGAUAAGUAAUGUGAAUUGCAGAAUUCAGUGAAUCAUCGAAUCUUUGAACGCACAUUGCGCCCUCUGGCAUUCCGGGGGGCAUGCCCGUUCGAGCGUCAUUAACACCCAUCAAGCCUGGCUUGGUAUUGGGCGACGGGACCUCCCCGCGCCCCGAUUUCGCCGGCUGGACGACCCUGAUCUCGCAAGCGUAGCACAAUCUCGCUGGUGGGACGGGCGGCCACGCCGUUAACCUCAAAUCAAACAAGUUGACCUCGGAUCGGGUAGGAAUACCCGCUGAACUUAA
rnacentral:misc_RNA from 1 species